GAAGGAUGCUCUUUUCUGGCUCCAGCCCGGGAGCAGUUGGAACCCCUGACUGCAGAAGUCAAAGCACACCAACCUGUCUGAACCUGGGUGCACUUGGACACAUGCAAAGAACCGCAGCGGGAAUAGGAUUGUGCUAGUUACUAAAGAAGAAUACAGAAACACAAGAGGAAGGGUGAAUGCUUGAUCAUCAGAGAAGCUGAGAAAAAACCGCAAAUCCUGACCCAGCUAUUGUUUCCUAUCUAAACUUCUGCUCAUUCCCAAAGAGCACAGACUACAGGACAUUCUAGAGAUAAGAUCUGGACAUGUUUUAUUAUUUAACAAGAUGUUAACAUUGAGGAUAGUGUCGGAACAGUCUGUGUAUAUUUUCUUACUUGUAAAGUUCUCACAAGUGUGUUUUCUCCAAAAUGGAAAAUGUCAGCUGGCAAAGCCUUCAAGGGCCUGAAUGGCAAAGGUCACCUAGACAAGCCAUCUGCAUUGCCAUGCAUUGCAGUCUGUCUGCGUCUAACCAUACUUGCGAUAACAAGAGAGUGCAAUCAGCAUUCUACCGACAGUUAAAAAAAAUGAUCAACGUGAAGACCAAAGAUAGAUGUGAGAGUAAUGA